UAGUCCACGCAGUAAACGAUGAAUACUCGCUGUCCGGGGAGGUUGGUCUCUGGGCGGCCAAGCGAAAGCGUUAAGUAUUCCACCUGGGGAGUACGCCGGCAACGGUGAAACUCAAAGGAAUUGACGGGGGCCCGCACAAGCGGAGGAACAUGUGGUAUAAAUCGAUGAUACGCGAGGAACCUUACCCGGGCUCAAACGACGGAUGAAUACUUUUAAAAGGAGGUAGUCCUUCGGGACAUCCGUCGAGGUGCUGCAUGGUUGUCGUCAGCUCGUGCCGUGAGGUGUCGGCUUAAGUGCCAUAACGAGCGCAACCCCCAUCGCCAGUUGCCAACAGGUAAAGCUGGGAACUCUGGCGAGACUGCCGGCGCAAGCUGUGAGGAAGGCGGGGAUGACGUCAAAUCAGCACGGCCCUUACGUCCGGGGCGACACACGUGUUACAAUGGCAGGUACAGAGAGAUGCGACACGGCGACGUGGAGCGGAACUGUCAAAACCUGUCUCAGUUCGGAUCGGAGUCUACAGCCCGACUCCGUGAAGCUGGAUUCGCUAGUAAU
rnacentral:rRNA from 1 species